AAGCUAUGAUGUGGGCACCUCCUCAAUAGGUCCUUGAAUCUCUCCUAAGCUUCAUACAAACUCUCUUGAUCCUAGUGGGCAAAAGUCAUUAUCAUUGUGAAGCUU
rnacentral:snoRNA from 1 species